UACGGGGGGUGCAAGCGUUAAUCGGAAUCACUGGGCGUAAAGGGUGCGUAGGCGGUACGUUAGGUCUGUCGUGAAAUCCCCGGGCUCAACCUGGGAAUGGCGGUAGAAACCGGCGAACUAGAGUAUGGGAGAGGGUGGUGGAAUUCCAGGUGUAGCGGUGAAACGCGUAGAGAUCUGGAGGAACAUCAGUGGCGAAGGCGGCCACCUGGCCCAAUACUGACGCUGAGGCACGAAAGCGUGGGGAGCAAACAGGAUUAGAUACCCCUGGUAGUCCACGCCCUAAGCGAUGAAUACUAGAUGUUUGGUACCUAGCGUACUGAGUGUCGUAGCUAACGCGAUAAGUAUUCCGCCUGGGAAGUACGGCCGCAAGGUUAAAACUCA
rnacentral:rRNA from 1 species